rnacentral:rRNA from 1 species
CCUACGGGUGGCAGCAGUGGGGAAUAUUGCACAAUGGGGGAAACCCUGAUGCAGCGACGCCGCGUGAAGGAUGAAGUAUUUCGGUAUGUAAACUUCUAUCAGCAGGGAAGAAAAUGAAGGUACCUGACUAAGAAGCCCCGGCUAACUACGUGCCGGCAGCCGCGGUAAUACGCAGGGUGCAAGCGUUAUCCGGAUUUACUGGGUGUAAAGGGAGCGUAGACGGUAUGGAAAGUCUGAUGUGAAAACCCGGGGCUCAACCCCGGGACUGCAUUGGAAACUGCCGAACUAGAGUGUCGGAGAGGCAAGUGGAAUUCGUAGUGUAGCGGUGAAAUGCGUAGAUAUUAGGAGGAACACCAGUGGCGAAGGCGGCUUGCUGGACGAUGACUGACGUUGAGGCUCGAAAGCGUGGGGAGCAAACAGGAUUAGAUACCCGGGUAGUC